CCCAAGGCUGACGCCAUUGGGCUAAGGUAUACCAUGCCUUCGGCAUU
rfam:Lentisphaera araneosa HTCC2155 1101329224571, whole genome shotgun sequence.